rnacentral:rRNA from 1 species
GAUGAACGCUGGCGGCGUGCUUAACACAUGCAAGUCGAACGAUGAAGCCCAGCUUGCUGGGUGGAUUAGUGGCGAACGGGUGAGUAACACGUGAGUAACCUGCCCUUGACUCUGGGAUAAGCCUGGGAAACUGGGUCUAAUACUGGAUAUGACUUCUCAUCGCAUGGUGGGGGGUGGAAAGAUUUAUUGGUCUUGGAUGGACUCGCGGCCUAUCAGCUUGUUGGUGAGGUAAUGGCUCACCAAGGCGACGACGGGUAGCCGGCCUGAGAGGGUGACCGGCCACACUGGGACUGAGACACGGCCCAGACUCCUACGGGAGGCAGCAGUGGGGAAUAUUGCACAAUGGGCGCAAGCCUGAUGCAGCGACGCCGCGUGAGGGAUGACGGCCUUCGGGUUGUAAACCUCUUUCAGUAGGGAAGAAGCGAGAGUGACGGUACCUGCAGAAGAAGCGCCGGCUAACUACAUG